AAACCGGUUGAUCCUGCCGGACCCAACCGCUAUCGGAGCGGGACUAAGCCAUGCUAGUCGAGCGCCUCGGACCACGGCGAGGCGCGGCGUACGGCUCAGCAACACGUGGUCAAUCUACCCUGAGGACGGGGAUACCUCCGGGAAAACCAAGCGUCUAUUGCUGGUCCCGAGACUGGAGUCAAUACCCGAUAGGUGAAGAGGUCUGGAAUGCCUCUUAACCCAAACGGCGUUAGCGCCAUGUCUGUUGAUGCCGCCUCAGGAUGGGACCGCGGCCGAUUAGGCUGUUGGUGGGGUAACGAUCGGUGGCCCUCAACUGAAGGAUUUGAAUACAGACUGGCUGGAGCACCACGUGACUUCUAUAAACUGUUAUGACAAGUCUACCUUUGAGCAAUUGCUUCGGAUAGCUAUAUUAAUGGCUGAUCUUCUCGCGAUUCUAGGAAAUGCCCCUUCUAGAAGCAGCAGAGUCGACUGACUCCAUUGCGUAAUCAUUUCUACUAGCGAAGCGUGGUCAUCGUCGUCAGAUUCGCGCGAGACUCGUGUUGCAAGUAGACCGGAAAGCUACGAAAGAAAGUUGUGCGUCAGGGUGUAGUUUUCUCUCAGAACCACGAAUCUGCGAUGGACAUCACUUUCCCUCGUUAUUAAGGUGCAAGGCAUCCUACGCUGCCGGGAGCACCGAUUACAAGCCCACCAAACCGAUAAUCGGUACGGGCCGUGAGAGCGGUAGCCCGGAGAUGGGGACUGAGACAAGGCCCCAGGCCCUACGGGGCGCAGCAGGCGCGAAACCUCCGCAAUGCGGGAAACCGCGACGGGGCUACUCCGAGUGCCAUCCGCUAAGGGUGGCUUUUCCACAGUGUAAACAGCUGUGGGAAUAAGGGGAGGGCAAGGCUGGUGCCAGCCGCCGCGGUAAAACCAGCUCCUCGAGUGGUUGGGAUGUUUAUUGGGCCUAAAGCGUCCGUAGCCGGCCCGAUAAGUCCUUGGCUAAAUCCGUCAGCCUAACUGACAGCGUGCUGAGGACACUGUUGGGCUUGGGGGCGGGAGAGGCUGAGGGUACUACUGGGGUAGGGGUGAAAUCCUAUAAUCCCAGUAGGACCACCUGUGGCGAAGGCGCUCAGCUGGAACGCGCCCGACGGUGAGGGACGAAAGCUAGGGGAGCGAACCGGAUUAGAUACCCGGGUAGUCCUAGCUGUAAACUAUGCGGGCUAGGUGUUAGAGCGGCCACGUGCUGCUCUAGUGCCGAAGGGAAGCCGUUAAGCCCGCCGCCUGGGGAGUACGGCCGCAAGGCUGAAACUUAAAGGAAUUGGCGGGGGAGCACCACAAGGGGUGAAGCCUGCGGUUUAAUUGGACUCAACGCCGGGAAACUUACCGGGGGCGACAGCAGAAUGAAGGCCAGGUUGACGACCUUGCCAGACAAGCUGAGAGGAGGUGCAUGGCCGUCGCCAGUUCGUGCCGUGAGGUGUCCUGUCAAGUCAGGCAACGAACGAGACCCCUGCUUACAGUUGCUAUCAGGUUCAGAAAUGGAUCUGAGCACACUGUGGGGACUGCCGGCGAUAAGCUGGAGGAAGGAGGGGGCCACGGCAGGUCAGUAUGCCCCGAAUCCCCCGGGCCACACGCGGGCUGCAAUGGCUGGGACAAUGGGCUCCAACCCCGAGAGGGGAAGGUAAUCCCGAAACCCAGUCUCAGUUGGGAUCGAGGGCUGCAACCCGCCCUCGUGAACAUGGAAUCCCUAGUAACCGCGUGUCAUCAUCGCGCGGUGAAUACUGUCCCUGCUCCUUGCACACACCGCCCGUCGCUCCACCCGAGUCGGGUUAGGGUGAGACGUAGCCUUAUUGGUCGCGUCGAACCCAGGCUCGGCAAGGGGGGAGAAGUCGUAACAAGGUAGCCGUAGGGGAACCUGCGGCUGGAUCACCUCCU
rnacentral:rRNA from 1 species